CUCAUGCCUAAUAGUCAUUAUUGUAUCUUUGCGGUGCAACUGAACCAUUAUAUCCAGUCGAAAACAAUCAACCCGGGGAAGGGCUCACACAACUACAACGGUGGAAGACUACUAGACUUAAUAUUUUUUUAAAAAAAUUUGAUUCAGGUCUCAUCCUUAAUUAGUCAUAAUAGUUAUGACUAACCUAAUGGCAUGGGCUAGCUCGAGUUCAACAAGUCAACCUAAUACA
rnacentral:lncRNA from 1 species